AAGGAAAGGAAAGGGUGAGCGACGACAGGUAGUUUUCUUUCGCUGUCCAAGCUGCUCUUAUCUUCUCUUAUGCUAAGAAGAAAAGAAAGCAUGGAUGAAAAACGAUAAAGAAAAAUCAGAAGCGAGGCAAGAACUGAACCCUCUCUGUUUCUUUCCUGUAGGCUCUAAUCUCACCAUGCAAGAUUACCACCGGCAGCCUCUAUUGCUCAACCGCGGAGAAGAAGGAAAACAACAAGAAGAUCAAGAGCAGGAAACCGCUUAUGAUUCGGACGAGAAAGUUAUCAUCGGAAUCGAUGCCGGUUUCGACUCCGAUUUCGAGAACGCGCCGCCAUUCUCAUGGAGAAAGCUUUGGCUCUUCACUGGUCCCGGAUUCUUAAUGUCCAUCGCGUUUCUUGAUCCUGGGAAUUUGGAGGGGGAUCUUCAGGCUGGAGCGAUUGCUGGGUAUUCGUUGCUUUGGCUUCUCUUGUUGGCCACGGCUAUGGGGCUCCUCGUUCAGCUCCUGGCGGCUCGGCUCGGCGUGGCCACUGGGAGGCAUUUGGCUGAGUUGUGUAGAGAGGAGUAUCCCUCGUGGGCUCGAAUGGUGCUGUGGAUUAUGGCAGAGUUGGCUUUGAUAGGGGCUGAUAUACAAGAGGUUAUUGGAAGUGCUAUUGCUAUUAAGAUUUUGAGUAAUGGGGUUUUGCCUUUAUGGGCUGGUGUUAUUAUAACCGCUUGUGAUUGUUUUAUCUUCCUAUUUCUUGAGAAUUAUGGCGUGAGGAAAUUGGAAGCAGUUUUUGCAGUUCUGAUUGCGAUAAUGGCACUCUCAUUUGCUUGGAUGUUUGCUGACACAAAACCCGAUGGCAAGGAGCUUCUUCUGGGUAUCCUAGUUCCAAAACUUAGCUCUAAAACAAUACAACAGGCUGUUGGAGUUGUGGGUUGCAUCAUCAUGCCUCACAAUAUAUUUUUGCAUUCUGCUCUUGUCCAGUCAAGGGAUGUUGACACCACUAAGAAAGGCCGGGUUAAAGAAGCUCUCAGAUACUACUCCAUAGAAUCUACUUUUGCCCUUAUGGUAUCAUUCAUUAUCAAUUUAUUUGUCACAACCGUGUUUGCAAAAGGUUUUUAUGGUACAGAACUGGCGAAUAGUAUUGGCCUUGUGAAUGCUGGGCAAUACCUUCAAGAGAAAUAUGGGGGUGGACUUUUCCCAAUUUUGUACAUAUGGGCUAUUGGGUUAUUAGCAGCUGGCCAGAGUAGCACUAUUACUGGCACUUAUGCAGGGCAGUUUAUCAUGGGAGGUUUCCUGAACUUGAGAUUGAAAAAAUGGCUCAGGGCAUUGAUAACCCGAAGCUUUGCAAUCAUCCCUACUAUGAUUGUUGCACUUGUUUUUGAUACCUCGGAAGACACAUUGGAUGUUCUAAAUGAAUGGCUAAAUGUACUUCAAUCAAUUCAGAUUCCUUUUGCACUUAUCCCUCUUCUUUAUUUGGUCUCCAAGGGGCAAAUCAUGGGCACUUUCAAAAUUGGUAUUGUUCUCAAGAUGGUGUCAUGGCUUGUGGCUGCUCUGGUGAUAGUAAUCAAUGGUUACCUUUUGAUCGACUUUUUCUCCAAUGAAGUGAAUGGAGUAAUUUUUGCCACUGCCGUAUGCAUUUUCACUGGUGCAUAUGUGGCAUUCAUAGUUUACCUUGUUUCCACGGGGAUCAACUUUGCUUCAUGGUGCUGUCCACCUAAACAUGUAGAGGGAAAUGAGUAAACAAAACUACAAUUGCAAGAUAUUUCAAUCAUAUAGUAUAAAUUGGCAACAAUACAUAUUGGAUGGAAUUGCAGUUUCACUGGAAUGGCUUCAUACCUUCUCAACCAUAGAGUUUAUACCUCAUGCAUACUUAUGGGGCUUGCUGUGUACAAAGUUCCCUUACUGUACUUUGUGUUUUUUUUUAUCAACGGUAUCAUAGAACUUCUAUGUUUCUCUGGAAGUUAGGUACCCAAUGGCCUGCAAACUAAGCCUGCUUUUUCCUUCUGCUGUAGUUGCUAGUGUAUCAGUUACCUUUAAGUUGAUGAGGAGGGAGUUUCAUUUCUUAUCAAUAAAGACGUAAUUCUGCUGGAGAGGAGAAUACUAUAGCCGAUGUGUGCCGUUUGGAAAAAGAAUUUAAUCUCAGUAGAGAGUAAAUUGAGUACCUUAUCAUAAAUGCUAAAAAAAAAGUAUCCUCAUCAUUUUCAGAGACUAUUACCAAUCCAGAUACAAAUAUUCAAACAUUAUACAAAA